AACGAACGCUGGCGGCAUGCCUAACACAUGCAAGUCGAACGAGACCUUCGGGUCUAGUGGCGCACGGGUGCGUAACGCGUGGGAACCUGCCCUUAGGUUCGGAAUAACUCCCCGAAAGGGGUGCUAAUACCGGAUAAUGUCUUCGGACCAAAGAUUUAUCGCCUCUGGAUGGGCCCGCGUUGGAUUAGCUGGUUGGUAGGGUAAAAGCCUACCAAGGCGAGGAUCCAUAGCUGGUCGGAGAGGAUGAUCAGCCACACUGGGACUGAGACACGGCCCAGACUCCUACGGGAGGCAGCAGUGGGGAAUAUUGGACGAGGGACGAAAGCCUGAUCCAGCAGUGCCGGGUGAGUGAUGAAGGCCUUAGGGUUGUAAAGCUCUUUUACCCGGGAUGAUAAUGACAGUACCGGGAGAAUAAGCUCCGGCUAACUCCGUG
rnacentral:rRNA from 1 species